GGGUUUCUGGGUGCUUUAAAUCCCUCCUUUAGACAAACAUGCUGUUUCACCCGCCCUGCCUUUGACCCCCUCCCUCCCCCUCCCCUUCUUUUGCUUCUGCUGCUGUUUCCUGUUUACAGCUGGAGCGGGAGCUUUCAUCCGUGGGCUUCUGAGCUCACUUCCCCGCCGACAGGAAGCCCUGGCAGGAGCCGGCUUCCCGCCACACCCCUGGUCUCGAGUGGGUCCAGAAGCGAGAAGCAAAAGGCAGGAGGCUGGGCUUUAAAGGGCUGAGCUGCAGCGCCUGCGAGGAGAGGAGACUCAGCCCCAAGGCAGGAAGGAGGCAGACAGACAGACAGACAGACAGAUAAUGGAACGUGAAUGAACAUUUCGCCUGCUGCUUCAGGAAAGGAAUAUACAAAACUCUCUUUCCCUCUCUCCCAACCCUUGUACCAGUGCCAACUGUAGUCCUCACUGGUACAGAGGAUGGAAGGGUGGGCCUGCAGAGAUGAGACACACCUGGAACCACUCUACUUACCAGUCUGGAUGUCCUCUCUAAACCAAGGCAGAAGCAACUUCAAGAACCCCUCUUCCCUUCAGCAAAAGCAGAUAAAAUAUCCUUCUCCAUCUUAACCACAGCCUCUGCUUUUAACCCAGCCUAGGAUUUUUACUGUUUAACUAAGAGAGAGCCAGCUUGUCUUCAUACAAAGUUUUCUAAUAAAGCUAUGUGCUAAAUUUUAAUCCAACAUAAUUUGAUAUGUUUUAAUUAUUUUCAGUUCCACAAAGAAAGAAUCAGCAUUUGAUUUUGGGUCCCAAGGGGCAGAUUGUGUUGGAGACUUUGUUCAGACAUAAAAUGUAUGUACAGUAGAGUCUCACUUAUCCAACAUAAACGGGCUGGCAGAAUGUUGGAUAAGUGAAUAUGUUGAAUAAUAAGGAGAGAUUAAGAAAAAGCCUAUUAAAUAUCAAAAUAGGUUAUGAUUUUACAAAUUAAGCACCAAAACAUCAUGUUAUACAACAAAUUUGACAGAAAAAGUAGUUCAUUACACAUUAAUGCUAUGUAGUAAUUACUGUAUUUACGAAUUUAGCACCAAAAUAUCAAGAUAUAUUGAAAACGUUGACUACAAAAAUGCGUUGGAUAAUCCAGAACGUUGGAUAAGUGAGUGUUGGAUAAGUGAGACUCUACUGUAUUAAAAAUUAAAGUGUACACUGAGUAUGAAAGGACAGCUAGAUAACACAUGGGUGUGAAUCUUACUUAUUAAAGCCAGACUGGGAAUUAUGUAGCCCUCCAGAUGUUAAAAAGCAACUUCCAAUAUCCCUAACCAUUGGCUAUGCUGGCUAGGACUAGGAAGCUAACAGGAUCUAGAGAGGAUGCAUGAUUUUACUCUAUGUAGGAUGAGCAUAAAACCAGGGAAUGAGUCAGGGUUUGGGAAAGUUUAUUUUUUGGACUACAACUUCCAAUAUCCCACAGUCAGCUCACAUCUAAAAGACCCAAUGUAUCCAAGCUCUCAGGGGGAACUUCCCAAUGGUUGUUUUUUCUGCUACCAGCUGAAAUAAAAAACUCAAUCUUU